GAAACGCCAUUAAAAGAUGCUAAGAUUAUUGAUGUCUGCCUGAGCACCAGUGCAGCUCCAACCUACUUUGCACCCCAUUCCUUCACCACAAUUGACAAUGACGAAAAGCAUACUUUCGAGCUUAUUGAUGGUGCGGUUGCUGCAAAUAAUCCUACGCUAGUGGCCAUAACUCACGCCCUGAGUUGUAAAAAUAUCCAGCAAAGAGUGGAUCCUCAUUACGAGGAGGAAAAAAUGCGAAAGCCCAACUAGGAGAUUCCGGAUGCUAGUCCUUUCAUUGGGUACUGGCAAAGCUUAUCUGAAUGAAGAAGAAAGAUACUCUACAAAAAAAGCCUCUAAGUGGGGUAUACUGGGUUGGGUCCUUGACAAUAGGAGGACACCAAUCCUGGACAUUUUUCAAGAUGCUAGCUGCGAUAUGGUUGACGUUCAUGUGGCUUCUCUCUUCAACUCCUUCCAUUGCCAUGGUCAUUACCUGCGAAUUCAGGUGUUUAUAACAUCUAUUCUACUAGCUUAGAAAUCGAGUAUCUACCUUGUUUCUUAUUCCUUUCAAAAAAUUUCGUAGUAUACAAAAACAUAAUACUUUCCAAAUCAAUAGUAAUAUCUGAAAUAUUCAUAAAGUGUACGAUUUACACUGGUGAUUCAACAGACUGACAAAUUGACCGGUGAUCAAGCAUCACUUGAUAUUGCAACCGAUGACAAUUUGAGUAGGCUUCUUGCCACUGGCAAUGAGCUACUGGAUAAAGUGGAAUCAAGAGUGGAUUUGGUGACUGGUGGGCUUCGACCAAUUACGCAUGAAGAUGGCGCCAAUAUGUCCAAUGCAGUAGCUCUUGAUUAUUUUGCGCAGCGGUUAAAUAUGUGAGAAGAGACGGCGCCAGGGCUUAUCUCCUCCACUUAAUUGAAAAUGUCUUUAUUUAUUGGAACUUCAGUCGAUUACAUUGUCCGACUUAUUUUUAUGUUACAUUAAAGAUUAUUUUUCUUUUUCCUUUUUACGAAAAAUGUCUGCUAGAACGGAAAUAUAAGUGCAGAAAAAUAAAGUUUGUCUUUGAAUUGUGUGGUAGAAAAAGGAUUUAAUAAAUUUCUUUGUGGAAAGGGGAUUAUGUAUCUUCAUCCCCAGAAUUUGGAUUGUUCUAUUUUAAAGGCCUUAUUCAAUCAAAGUGGGUUUACUAAAAUAAAUAGUCCACGUACAUGAGUGAUAUCUACAUACACACCCAGUUUUUCCUUUUUCUUUUUCAAAUCCUUUUAUUUUACUUGAAAGUGUAUUUUUAAAAGAAGGUUAUAACGAUCCGGCAUUGAAGAUAAAUUUAUUUGAUUGAAACUUGAUUUAGGAUCUUAUUUCAUAUUUAUUUCUUUUAUUUAUUUAUUUAUUAAAUUUAUUGAUUAAAUAUUAUGAGUAUUUUGUUUUAUAUUUUAUUAUAGGAUUUUUUUUUUUUUAAUGAGAGUUAGAAUGAGUUUGAUUUUGGUAUUCAGAAUAUCAAACUUGUUUAAAGCCUCAUUUAAUCAUAAUGAAGCGAAUUUUUAGUUCAACUUAUCCACCGAUUGGAAUGUGUUUCUUACCGAUGUGCCACACACAGCCAAAGUGCUGUAGACAAUUGUUUCAUCAACACGAUUAAUGAUAUUCAAAGAAAAAAUUCAUCUUUAUAAUAAGGUUGAUAUAUAUUUUUUGGACGUAUUCAAGUUUACUUG